rnacentral:rRNA from 1 species
CGAACGCUGGCGGCGUGCUUAACACAUGCAAGUCGAGCGGUAAGGCCCUUCGGGGUACACGAGCGGCGAACGGGUGAGUAACACGUGGGUGAUCUGCCUCGCACUCUGGGAUAAGCCUGGGAAACUGGGUCUAAUACCGGAUAUGACCUUACAUCGCAUGGUGUUUGGUGGAAAGAUUUAUCGGUGCGAGAUGGGCCCGCGGCCUAUCAGCUUGUUGGUGGGGUAAUGGCCUACCAAGGCGACGACGGGUAGCCGGCCUGAGAGGGCGACCGGCCACACUGGGACUGAGACACGGCCCAGACUCCUACGGGAGGCAGCAGUGGGGAAUAUUGCACAAUGGGCGAAAGCCUGAUGCAGCGACGCCGCGUGAGGGAUGACGGCCUUCGGGUUGUAAACCUCUUUCGACAGGGACGAAGCGCAAGUGACGGUACCUGUAGAAGAAGCACCGGCCAACUACGUGCCAGCAGCCGCGGUAAUACGUAGGGUGCGAGCGUUGUCCGGAAUUACUGGGCGUAAAGAGCUUGUAGGCGGCUUGUCGCGUCGAUCGUGAAAACUUGGGGCUCAACCCCAAGCUUGCGGUCGAUACGGGCAGGCUUGAGUACUUCAGGGGAGACUGGAAUUCCUGGUGUAGCGGUGAAAUGCGCAGAUAUCAGGAGGAACACCGGUGGCGAAGGCGGGUCUCUGGGAAGUAACUGACGCUGAGAAGCGAAAGCGUGGGUAGCGAACAGGAUUAGAUACCCUGGUAGUCCACGCCGUAAACGGUGGGUACUAGGUGUGGGUUUCCUUCCACGGGAUCCGUGCCGUAGCUAACGCAUUAAGUACCCCGCCUGGGGAGUACGGCCGCAAGGCUAAAACUCAAAGGAAUUGACGGGGGCCCGCACAAGCGGCGGAGCAUGUGGAUUAAUUCGAUGCAACGCGAAGAACCUUACCUGGGUUUGACAUACACCGGAAACCUGCAGAGAUGUAGGCCCCCUUGUGGUCGGUGUACAGGUGGUGCAUGGCUGUCGUCAGCUCGUGUCGUGAGAUGUUGGGUUAAGUCCCGCAACGAGCGCAACCCUUAUCUUAUGUUGCCAGCGCGUAAUGGCGGGGACUCGUGAGAGACUGCCGGGGUCAACUCGGAGGAAGGUGGGGACGACGUCAAGUCAUCAUGCCCCUUAUGUCCAGGGCUUCACACAUGCUACAAUGGCCGGUACAGAGGGCUGCGAUACCGUGAGGUGGAGCGAAUCCCUUAAAGCCGGUCUCAGUUCGGAUCGGGGUCUGCAACUCGACCCCGUGAAGUUGGAGUCGCUAGUA